AUUGAACGCUGGCGGCAGGCUUAACACAUGCAAGUCGAGCGGGGUGAUGGUGCUUGCACUAUCACUUAGCGGCGGACGGGUGAGUAAUGCUUAGGAAUCUGCCUAUUAGUGGGGGACAACAUCUCGAAAGGGAUGCUAAUACCGCAUACGUCCUACGGGAGAAAGCAGGGGAUCACUUGUGACCUUGCGCUAAUAGAUGAGCCUAGGUCGGAUUAGCUAGUUGGUGGGGUAAAGGCCUACCAAGGCGACGAUCUGUAGCGGGUCUGCGAGGAUGAUCCACCACACUGUGACGGGAACACGGCCCAGACUCCGGCGGGAGGCAGCAGUGGUGAAUAUUGGACAAUGGGGGGAACCCUGAUCCAGCCAUGCCGCGUGUGUGAAGAAGGCCUUAUGGUUGUAAAGCACUUUAAGCGAGGAGGAGGCUCUUUUGGUUAAUACCCAAGAUGAGUGGACGUUACUCGCAGAAUGAGCACCGGCUAACUCUGUGCCAGCCGCCGCCGUAA
rnacentral:rRNA from 1 species